AUGCUAGUGAUUAAAAGCUUCUAUCCAUAGAGCAGGCACAGCACAGGCAUGAGCAAUGAAAACUUCCCCACAUUGCCCUGAUGAUGCGUCCCAACCACUUAGGACCAAGUGCUUUUCUCCGAGUUCUAAAAGUUUUUUUUGAAAACUAGCCAACCCACAAAAAU
rnacentral:sRNA from 1 species